UCUCCUCUCUCUAUCCAUCUUAAUUAGUACGUAAUACUAUAGUCUAUAUUGUUAUGGUUCGCAAUUACGCUUUCUAUUUCGCUGUUGUGCUUAUUGUGAUAUCUGUUUAUUUGGCGAAGUCUCCAAAUGUGAAAGUAAUUGCUGCAAGAGACUUAUCGCAGACUAUAACAGAUUUGAAAUCAAAACUCAAUGGUUAUAAGUUGAUGGGUGGUUGUGGUGGAUACUGUAGACAGAAGAGCGAUUGCUUCGAUAGGACAUGUCCCCGUUGUUACUAUGAUAUUAUUAAACUUACUUACGGCUGCCACUCGUAAAGGAUCGUCGAUCGUCGAUGGCCAAGACAAUAUGAUUUAUGUUACUUCUAAGUUCUAAAUAUAUGAGUAAAUGUUUGUGUGGUUUAAUGUCUUUAAGCUUUUUUUGUGGGAAAAAAUAAAACGACUUAAGUUCUACUUCUAGUUAUAAUAGUGGUCGGACAAUGUAGGAUGUAAUGUAUAUUUAUCAAUAUGAAUGAAGUUGGAGUGAAUAAUUUUUUUUUUGCGAA